UAUUGAGCUUGGCAGAAGGUUAUGAAAGAUCUGCUAAACUCACGUGUCACUAAAGUGACAGAAUGUACCAUAAAUUAUUACGUAGUAUGUAGAGAGGGAUGAGACACCUACAACUUGUAUGUUUCCAUUGUUUCAUUGUUUUUACUACGUUGUUUUUUCCACUCGGUAAUUUUGUGUGGAAAAGGCCUGGGGCUCCAUACAAUAAUGUAUUUUAUGUGCUAAGAAAAUGUGGCAUUACUUCUGUGAUUCCCAGUUUUCAGUCUGAUCAUAAAAUGUCACAUCUAUCAACUUCAUAUUAUUCAUGAAACCUGAAGAAUAAUCAACAUGCCAACAAGCACAGUAAGCACACUUCCUGCAUUACAGGAAAUGCAUGAUUAAAGGAUCACCUCUGAACCCACCUAUAAAUUAUACAGUUUUCAAACACAAUAUGUCAGUAAAAAUAUUAAAUGUUGAAUUAUGAUUUGAAGCACUAAGGUGUCAAACCCAAGGAGUGGCAUAAGUACAUAUGCAAUAAUUAAAGGUGUACAGAUUU